CACGUAGGAGGCUAGCGUUAUCCGGAUUUAUUGGGCGUAAAGCGCGCGCAGGCGGCUAGGUAAGACGGGUGUGAAAGCUCCGAACUCAAUUCGGAGAGGGCACUCGAUACUGCCUGGCUUGAGAGCGGGAGAGGGAAGUAGAAUUCUGGGUGUAGUGGUGAAAUGCGUAGAUAUCCAGAGGAAUACCAGUGGCGAAAGCGGCUUCCUGGCCCGUUUCUGACGCUGAGGCGCGAAAGCGUGGGGAGCGAACGGAAUUAGAAACUCCGGUAGUCCACGCCGUAAACGAUGGGUACUGGGUGUGGGGAGUAUUAACCCUCUCCGUGCCGCAGCAAACGCGUUAAGUACCCCGCCUGCAGACUACGGCCGCAAGGCUAAAACGCAAAGGAAUUGACGGGGGCCCGCACAAGCAGCGGAGCGUGUGGUUCAAUUCGAAGAUACACGAAGAACCUUACCUGGGUUUGACAUGUUGGUAGUAGUGAAGCGAAAGCGGAACGAUCCUUCGGGAAGCCAUCACAGGUGCUGCAUGGCUGUCGUCAGCUCGUGCCGUGAGGUGUUGGGUUAAGUCCUGUAACGAGCGCAACCCUUACUGCCAGUUACAAGUGUCUGGCGGAACUGCCGGUGAUAAACCGGAGGAAGGUGAGGAUGACGUCAAGUCAGCAUGGCCUUUAUAUCCAGGGCUACACACACGCUACAAUGGCCGGCACAAUGGGUCGCCAAGCCGUGAGGCGGAGCUAAUUCUGAAAGUCGGUUUCAGUUCGGAUUGUAGGUUGCAACCCGCCUACAUGAAGUUGGAGUUGCUAGUAACCGCGCGUCAGCAAUAGUGCGGUGAAUACGUUCCCGGGCCU
rnacentral:rRNA from 1 species